CAACCCUCAGGCCCCCGGCUUGGUGUUGGGGAUCGGCGCGCCCCCGCCCCUGCCGUCCGCGGCACGGGCGCCGGGGCCGCCGCCUCCGAAAUGAAUUGGCGGUCUCGUCGCAGCCUUCCUUUGCGUAGUAACAUACCACCUCGCAACCGGGAGCGCGGCGCGGCCACGGCCGUAAAACGCCCAACUUCUCAAAG
rnacentral:misc_RNA from 1 species